UACGGAGGGAGCUAGCGUUGUUCGGAAUUACUGGGCGUAAAGCGCGCGUAGGCGGCUUUGUAAGUUAGAGGUGAAAGCCCGGAGCUCAACUCCGGAAUUGCCUUUGAUACUGCAUCGCUUGAAUCCAGGAGAGGUGAGUGGAAUUCCGAGUGUAGAGGUGAGAUUCGUAGAUAUUCGGAAGAACACCAGUGGCGAAGGCGGCUCACUGGACGUGUAUGACGCUGAGGUGCGAAAGCGUGGGGAGCAAACAGG
rnacentral:rRNA from 1 species